CUUAGACCUACCUUGGGUGUAGAAAGGAGCUCCUGAGCUAGAGAAGUUUUGGGUCCUUUAAACAAUGUUUCAAACGUUCCAGGGGCUCAGCACAGGCCUAACUGUAAGAGAUCCCAAACACAAAAGGAGAUCAGGGAGCAGUCUGCUAAGAAAAGGCACAACAACAAUACAUGGUACAGGUGCUUGGAUGAAAUAGAAACGGCUGUAAGUGUUCCGGAGGGCCUGAAUAAAAUAGCCGUCGAGAGGGAUGACAGUGCACCACUGCCACAGUAACCCAUGAUCAGCAUCCAAGGUGAUGUGCAUUCUUUUUUAACGGUGAGUUGUUUGAUGAAUGGUGCACAGUACCUGGGGUUGUAACAGAUGCUGUCUCACGGGAUUUGGUGAAUAAUCGUAUAGAAACUCACGCAGCUGUUGACUGUGUCCCUGCGGCUGAUGUACACAUUCAAGCUAGUGUCCCUGUGUCUAACAAAUUGAGUCAAACCUUCAUCUCAGUGUCUGAUAAAGCCUGUCAGGUUAGUGACGCAGCAUGUGAUAGAGCAACUGGUGUCACUGAUCUUCUCCCCACAGAGCCCAUUUGUCAAAGCCAGGCGGCUUCUUCAUUAGAUCGAACGCAUUUUCAUGAGCUGACCGACGAUGAGUUAAAUGUGCUUUAUGACAUGUAUGAAUUCUAUUAAUUUACCUGCUGUUGAUAAUAUUGAAAACAACUUGCCAACACCACAGGCCUGUGAGCAGGAGUCAUUGCGCCAGAUAAUAACAGACAGAUUUGCCCAAAUUAAUAACAAACUUGAUACUAAAUUAAAACAAGUUGACAACAGACGCCUGGAGUCCAUACUUUAAAAUCUUAUUAAAACAAACGCUAAUUUAUCUUAUCUGAUAACUUUAAGGCAAUUGAAAUUACAUUUGCCAACUUCAUAGCACAAACAGAUUUCUGGAAUGCUGGAUUGUCUAGAUAGUCAACCGCAGUAGAUUUGUGUCAUAAAAAUCACUCAUUUUCAUUUUCCUCCUUAUAAAAUGUUUGAACACAGUGAUGGAACUGGUCGGUCGGUUGUUAAUAGUGAUAAUAACACCAAAACUUCUCAUACACGUCCUAAUUUUGUAGCCUUCAAACAGUGGUCUGAUGACAUAACAGUUAAACUUGAUGUUUUACGAAGCUGCAUGCAGUGCAGGCGCAAGCGUAAAGCCGGUCUUGCUGCUGCUGCUGCUACAUCAAAUAACUCCAUUAAACUUCCUAUACAUGUCCUAAUUGUGUAGCUUUUAAACAGUGGUCUGAUAACAUGACAAAGAAACUUGAUGUUUAACAGAGUCGCGUGCAGCGCAGGCGUAAGCGUAAAGCUGGUCUCUCUGCUGCUACAUUAAAUAAUUCCAAUGCACUCAUACAACUUCUAAUUCUGUAGGUUCUGCGGGUGUGUCUGUCGUCUCUGAUAAUUCUGUAGCAUCUGUUGCUGCUGAUGAUGCUGUUGUUACUGGGUCUGCAGCACACUUGCUGUGAGUCAUUUGUCAGGUAGUGUCAACGGCACUGUGGUAGAAUCUGGUAGUAAAAUGCAGACUGAGCCAUUGGUUUUGUCAGUUGGUGGUCAUGGCGAUGUUUAGCAGGGGUCUGGAGGACAGGCUCAGGUUAGGGAUAUACUGGCUUUUAAUGCUUUAGAGUGUGCCAGUGAGUCAAUUUUCGAGACAUUGGUGUGAACAGCCCAAAGCAGGUGCCUGUUAGGCUCAUAGAGAGGUUGGGUGGUGUUAUUGAUCAGGCGCUAGAAGCUUCAUAACCCGGCAGUGUUUUUAAUUUUGUUUUGAGAAGGCCAUCCCUGGCCAGCAAAGUACAGACCAUUUUAAAUGUGUAUAAUGAUUACAAUGUAGAUCUGUUUAUAGAGGAAAUUGCUCAAGUGUUAGACAGCAACAAAACUUCUAUAUCAGAUGAUGAAUUGGAGUUUGUUGUUACGGUUGCACAGAACAGAAGUGGUGGUGCCUGUCUAAGACCGGGUAACAUGUCGUAUGAUGAGAUUUUGUCAAAGAAAGGGCGGUUUCUGCACAACCCCAUCAACAGUUCCAAAGACAACAACAUGUGUUUCUGUUUAUGCCUUGCACACUCUGCCAAUGCUGGUGUCUCUGAUAUAGAAAAUUUAGAGUACGCCAAACAGUUGGAAAAUGCUGUUAGGUUUGACCACACACACCAGGUAUCCUUCCUUGAUGUUACCAAAUUUGAAAGUAUUUAAAUCUUAAGAUUAUAAUUUUUUAUCAUGCUGCAGGGCGCAAACACCUACAGUGUUUCCAAACACAUGACACACCUCACAAACAGACCAGCUGGUUAUACUUGCAUAAUGAACACUAUUACAUGAUUGAAAAUCCAACUGGGUUUUUUGGGGCUCCUCAUGUCUGUCAGUACUGUUACAGUACAUAUGAAACCCCGCUAAUACACAACUGCAAGCAUCUCUGUAAUGUCUGCUUUACACAGUGCAAUCAGUACCCAGGCACAACACUGAAAUGUGAUAAAUGUAAACACAUCUGCAAAUCAACACAUUGCUAUCUACAACACAAGUUAAAGGAGACCACACACUAUGUGAGUCCAUGUGACACACUGAAAUACUGCGAGGCGUGUGGUAAAACAUACAGGCAUCAGAAAAACCCCCACAAGUGCGCACCCAUUGUAUGCGCACACUGCAGGGAGUGCCAAUUAGAUGGCGACCGUCCUCAUCAACCUCAUUUAUCCAACCACUUGAAAAACAAGAACCCAGUGAAAAUUACAUUCUGUAUGAUUUUGAGUUUUCCUCUUGGUUGCUGCAAGUAGAAAAACUCUCACCCUCCCAGGGUGAGUGCUAUGUUCAGAAUUCUUAAAAGCAACUCAAUAAACAGUAAAUAACUGAAUGUCCACACAGAAUUUAGAAUUUUAAGUUCAAACCUUUUAGUGAAUCUUUUCAAGCAAGCAAUGAGCAGUUACAGAGCUCUGGAUCAGAAAUGCUUCUCCCUAGCCGAUAACAUCAGCGAGUCAGCCUGCAUUCUGACAACCUGUCUUUCCCUGAUCAGUCUUUUAUACUAUUUACAAUGAGGAAAUGUGCAUGGAGGUGUUGUCUCCCUCUAAUUGGAUCCCCUCGUUAUCUGGCUCUUCUCCAGGGCGCAGGGUCUUCUCUGGAUUGGUCAACACCGAUCAUUCUGCUGUACCUGUCAAACACAAUCACAGAAACCAGACACCCACACCUUUCUUGUCUCACAUACACAUUACAUACUUCCUCUUUUUUGUCUCUGCAUACGGGUGACCUUCA